GGGAUUGCCCUAGUAACGGCGAGUGAAGCGGCAACAGCUCAAAUUUGAAAUCUGGCUCUCUUUGGGGGUCCGAGUUGUAAUUUGCAGAGGAUGCUUUGGCAUUGGCGGCGGUCUAAGUUCCUUGGAACAGGACAUCGCAGAGGGUGAGAAUCCCGUACGUGGGCGCCUGCCUUUGCCGUGUAAAGCUCCUUCGACGAGUCGAGUUGUUUGGGAAUGCAGCUCUAAAUGGGAGGUAAAUUUCUUCUAAAGCUAAAUACCGGCCAGAGACCGAUAGCGCACAAGUAGAGUGAUCGAAAGAUGAAAAGUACUUUGGAAAGAGAGUCAAAAAGCACGUGAAAUUGUUGAAAGGGAAGCGCUUGCAGCCAGACUUGCCCGCAGUUGCUCACCUAGGCUUUGGCCUGGGGCACUCUUCUGCGGGCAGGCCAGCAUCAGUUUGGGCGGUCGGACAAAGGCCUCUGUCAAGUAUCUCCCUUCGGGGUGACCUUAUAGGGGAGGCGUAAUGCGACCAGCCCGGACUGAGGUCCGCGCAUCUGCUAGGAUGCUGGCGUAAUGGCUGUAAGCGGCCCGUCUUGAAACACGGACCAAGGAGUCUAACAUCUAUGCGAGUGUUUGGGUGUCAAGCCCGGGCGCGCAAUGAAAGUGAACGGAGGUGGGAACCCUUUGGGUGCACCAUCGACCGAUCCUGAUGUCUUCGGAUGGAUUUGAGUAAGAGCAUAGCUGUUGGGACCCGAAAGAUGGUGAACUAUGCUUGAAUAGGGUGAAGCCAGAGGAAACUCUGGUGGAGGCUCGCAGCGGUUCUGACGUGCAAAUCGAUCGUCAAAUUUGGGCAUAGGGGCGAAAGACUAAUCGAACC
rnacentral:rRNA from 1 species